CAGCUUUUAUAACUGUAAAUUUGCUGUCCCCUCAAAAUAACACAAUACAGCCAUUAAUGUCUAAACCGCUGGCAACAAAAGUGAGCAGCCCCUCCAAAUUGGGCCAAAAGUGUCAAUAUUUUCCAGCACUGCCUUAACCCUCUUGGGCAUGGAGUUCACCAGAGCUUCACAGUUUGUCACUAGAGUCCUCUUCUACUCCUCCAUGACAUCACAGCAGCUGGUGGAUGUUAGAGACCUUGCACUCCUCCACCUUCUGUUUGAAGAUGCCCCACAGAUGCUCAAUGCUCAGUUUCAGGGUUUGAGGAUUGCCCCACAGAUGCUCAGUUUCAGGGUUUGAGGAUUGCCCCACAGAUGCUCAGUUUCAGGGUUUGAGGAUUGCCCCACAGAUGCUCAGUUUCAGGGUGUUGGCAAUCUUCUUAUGGCCAUAGGCCAUCUUUAGAACAACAAUUCUUUUUUUCAGAUCCUCAGAGAGUUCUUUGCCACGAGGUGCCAUGUUGAACUUCCAUUGACCAGUAUGAGGUAGUGUGAGAGUGAUGACACCAAAUUUCACACAUACCGUCUCCCUAUUCACACAUUGUAACAACCUUGAGACCUUGUAACAAUGAGUCACAUGACAUCGGGGAGGGAAAAUGGCAAAUUGGGCCCAAUUUGGAAAUGUUCGCUUAGGGUUGUAUUCACUCACUUGUUGCCAGCGGUUUAGAUAUUGUGUGUUGAGUUAUUUUGAGGGGACAGCAAAUUUACACUGUUAUACAAGCUGUACACUCAUUACUUUACAUUGUAGCAGUGUCAUUUCUUUCGUGUUGUCACAUGAAAAGAUAUACUCAAAUAUUUACAAAGAUGUGAGGAGUGUACUCACUUUUGUGAGAUACUGUUCCUUGCUUAAGAACUUCACAUGCAUGACGCAAUUUGUAGAGUGCAGAGUGCUUGGACAAAAUUAGAGCAGUAAAAGCUGAUGUAAUAUCAUACUUGUAGUAUACGGUCUUGUAUACCAUGGCUAUCAGCAUUCAGGAUUUGAACUCAAACACUGUCUUUGUUUUAAAACACUUAACUGUAAGUUGCUCUGGAGAAGAGUGGGUGCUAAAUGACAAUGGAAAUGUGACUUAAAUCAUGAAUGUUAUAAUACAGGAUAAGCAUGCUCCCAAAGUGCUUCUGUUCCUGUGCCCCAGUGUUGAGGAGGCAUCUUUUCUUUGUCUUGCGAAGAGAACUCAAUGAAAAUUCUCUAUGGAGUGUCCUCCCUCAAUAUGUUGUUGGCAUUCCCACUAACUCCUGCCUUGACAGAAACUAGUGUCCCUGGGGCCAAAAAUCUAAACAUUUAAAAUAACAAUAUAAAAAGGUAAUUACAUUUUGCAGACACUCUUGUCCUGUUUGCACUCUGGGAGGAGGUCACUGUGCAGUUGUAAACCAUGAUGGACAUGUUGUGGAGCGGACUGGCCAUUCUGCAAAAGAAGAGCAGCUCAGUCUUGUUAAGGUUAAGCUUGAAGUGGUUGACUGACAUCCAAGAGAUUGUGGAUCGGGCAGAAGAUAUGUGACAACAAUGUUAAGCUCAAAUCGAAAGCACACAAUGACAGCAUGGAAUUCAAAAGAGGGUGAGGGACAUAUAAUCUCCAAUUUGAAGUAACAAGUAGCCCUACGAUGCCACUGAGGCAAUCCAGAUGCUCUUGGACUAUGGGGAAUCAUUCAGAUGAAGAGAUAGCAGCCACAGUAAGCAGUAUUCUCUUGGGAAAUCCAUGCCUUUUUGACAGCAGAUCGACAGGCCCAAACACUACUAGAUAGCAGGGCUGGGAACAAAAUAUUAGAAAGAUUGCAGCCAUGGGCUUGGGGGUGACUGUAGAAAUGACUAGGAGAUUCGGCGGGCAGGGAUAGGAAAGAGACACAGCACAAAACGGACAGCAUUCCUUUUUUAUAUCCUGGGAAAACAGGUAGGUUGUAGACCUAUUUGUCUGAGUAGUUAAAUACUAAAUCGGCCUGUAUGUAUUUCAGCAGUUAGUUUUAGCAGUUUUUUUUUCUACUAGCCAGUGGAGCGCAUAACAGGAUGUGGUCCAAAACUGAAAGCGUAUGAACUCUGUGCUUCUGUUUUAAACCUGCCCAUGUUCCAUCACUCGCAUCCUGUCUCAGGCUCUGCACUUCAUAUAUGUUGAAUGGUUCAGCACGGGUUCAUCUCUCAGCAUACAGUGUUUGGACACCCAUUUAUGGGUGAAUUUGUCCAAACAUUUGACUGGUUUUGUACAUUUCACUGUAAAUGGAGGGAAUCUGCUGCAUUCACUUCAAACUGCUGUUUUUCAGAGCAGGGGAUUAUUUACAGAAUCACCAGUUCGGCAGGUUACUCUGCUCUGAUUAAUUGGCUCUCCAUCUGUGGACCUUAAACUUUUUGUCUGUUCAUUAGUGGGUUUCUUCACCGAUGUUAACCUGCCAUGGUAGAACAAAUCAUUUCUGAACAUGUCUGAAGCUUAACCACACUCAUCUACACUGUACACCAGCUGUACCCCAGCUUCACCCCAGCUUCCUCUUUCUAUUUGUGUUCAAAACUUCCCUUGCAACAUUUUAAACAUCAUGCGUGAGGUAGUGAUUUGAUGUUUCUAUAAUCAAGUAACAUCUUCUCAGUUCUCUCCACCCACAGUAUAUCCCUCUAACGUUAUAGGUUUUGCACGCCCAUCUGUCAAGUUUCUGCAUCCACAUUCUUGUUUAAAAAAAGUGCCACUGCUCACACACGCCUAUCACCUCUUCCUGCCUGGUCGGGUUUUCUCUGCCUUUUGAAACCAUCAUUUAGGCUAUUCUGUAGCAAGGCUUUGAACUCUGGUAGCAAGCCACUAAAUGGAAGAAUUGCAUUUUGGGAGUUAAGGAUCCAGUCAGUAAUAAAUCUAUGUAUGGAUCAAUUCAAAUUUAAAACAAAUAUAUUUGCCCACACUGGGAUGUGACCUGGAUCCCUACUACGCCAACUUCUGAUUGAGCAGAGAUUUCUUCAACAUUCUUUCUGAGAACUAAGAGUAGUCAUGUCAAAAGUCAUAGACGAGACAUCCAAUAGUGUCGUCUGGACCCUUGUCAUAAUCCUGGUGAUCCUCGUUGUCCUCCUGGUCUACCUGUACAAGCGACUGAACCGCCAGACUAAUGACCAAUACACCAUCCACAACCUGGUCUAUGGGGAAGGUGGCGCCAGGGACAGGUUGAGGAACUGGAUCCGAGUCCUGGAGGUUCGGUUCGGCCGACGACUCUGGCUUCUCAACGAGAGUGAGGGGGCUGCCGGAGAGGACGAGAAAGACGAAGAGGAGGAUGUGGAACGGGCGAGCGUGGGAGGGGACAGCCAGGGAGGUGAUCAGGAGGGCAGAGGGGAUGAUUCCUCGGAUGACUACUCUAGCUUGGAGGGCUGUGACCUUAGGGAGAGAGUGAAGCUCGCAGAGGGGAAGGAGGAGAGGGGAGGGAGUGUGGGGAGCAAGCCGGAGACGAGUCGAGACGGCGGAGAGUGUGAGGAGGGAGCAGUGGGAGGACAAGAAAGUGGACGAGGAGGUUUGCUGGUAGAUCUGCACCCAUUCUCUGGUAGCGCCAUCUGGUCGGGCGAUAAGGGCGUGGGAGAUGGAAACAUGGAGGAUGUGACUGCAUUGUGAGGGACUGAAAAAAGAGGGGGGGGGGUACAGGUAUUAGCCAGAAUAAAGGAAACACCAACAUUGUCUUAAUAUGUUGUUGGGCAGCUUCAGUGUGAAGGGUGUCUGGAACUGUUGGAGGGAUACAGCACAAUUUUUCCAUGAGAAAAUUUGGAAUAAUUGUUAUUUGGUGUUUUUGUUGCUAGCGGGGGGGGGGGGGGGCUCCAGUGUCUCUCAUACAAUUUAGGAUGUAGGAAUUAUUUUUGGUAUCCGCUCAUGUGUUCGAUCUGUUGAGUUCUGGUGAUGGAGCUGGCCAUGGCAAAUGCUUUACAUUCGAUUUCCUGCUCAUCAAGUCUAUCACCUCUCGUGACCUUUGAAUGUGAGCAGUGUAAUCUGGAAAAAAAACACUUCCAUAAAGAGGAUGGAAAUGCUUCGCCAUCAGCAUGUCACCAUGUGACCCUAAGCUUGAUAGGGUGUUAACUGCUUAAUUAAACUCAGAGAUCCAGUUGCGUUUGUAAGCCCCUGUGUUAGAUGUUUUGUUGCUCCAAAAAAGAAUGCAAAUGAGGGCGCGCCCUACUGUAACAAUGUUAGAUGAGAGUGUCUGCAAAAUUACUUCAAUGUGAAAAUGUGUCCUGUGUUUUGUCAAGAGUUACCUUGAUGCCGGCGGUUGCCCGCAGCUCCAUUGUAUGCACAGUGGCAGUGCAUGACAGAACAUGCACUUUUGGUCAUCAUGCCCUUUACAAUUUGUCAUACUAAAAGACAUUACAAUAAUUCUGACCUUGAUGUUGUUUAAAAUAAUUGUGAGCAAAACAUUUUAAAUGGCUUUGCACUGUGCAUUUCAGCUGUGCAUUUUAUCUGCUUACACUAAUAUACUCUACACCUGUGUAUGUGUAUAGAUUCCUUCACAGACAGUUAUAAAGAUUUAAGAUCUGAGCAUGAGUGAAAACGACUGUAAAAUUAUUCCUUAGUCUGCUUUAAAUAUGCUUAUGUCAGACUAAGUGAGAGGAACAUGGGAUUUCCAUGCAGUUAUGUUAAAGUUGAACAUAUUAAUUCAAAUUGCUUGAUUAUUAUACUAUUGUACAACAAUCAAUGAUGUAUCCCAGACCACUCUGUAUUGUCCAAUGACUACAUAAGUAAUAUGUUAAGGAAUCCUCAUAGAAACUCACACACAUUCCUAGAAUAUAUUAUACAACAUAAACAAAUCGAAGGCAAGUCAAUAAAACACAAACUCAACACAGUAGACAAACGCAGAGGUUAUAAAAAGGUUAUUCUGCUCUGUCUGUAAACUCAUAUAAGUAACAAAGGAAAUUAUUUUAUUAGAUUAUAAUACGUUAAAAUAAUAUAUUGAGCAGAGUUGUUUUGAAAUGAUUGUUUUUGCAAACAUGUUUGUGAUGAUUUAUGAACAGCUAUUCAGGUAAUGCUUUACUUUGUUCUAUAAUGUUUCACCGGUAAAUCACUGUCAGAUAACAGGCUAAAACGUUUUAUCGUCUCCCAUUGCUGUAUUCAUUUACACGAUAGACCUACUGUACUAUAGUACACUCAUACCUUUAAGAAACUGAAAGAUAAACGUAUUUGCAUGUACAUGCUUAAUUUUUUAAAUAAACAUUUAAAAUCCAAAAAAUAUAUUUUGUAAACAUAUUGCUUUUUCUGUGGCCUGCAUAAUUAUUACUGUAAGCUAUAAUAAAUACUAUUUAUCAUUGCCAUUAAACAUGCCACUAUAUCCUUUAUAUACCAUUAUUACUGCC
ensembl:lncRNA